GAUGAACGCUGGCGGCGUGCCUAAUACAUGCAAGUAGAACGCUGAAGGGGGAGCUUGCCCUUCUGGAUGUUUUCCGCACGGGUGAGUAUCGCGUAGGUAACCUGCCUGGUAGCGGGGGAUAUCUCUUGGAAAAGAUAGAUAAUACCGCAUGUCACCAGUUAUAGCAUGAUAACUGUCUAAAAGGGGCAACUGCUCCACUACCAGAUGGACCUGCGUUGUAUUAGCUAGGUGGUGAUGUAACGGCGCACCAAGGCGACGAUACAUAGCCGGCCUGGGAGGGGUGUCCGCCAAACCGGGACUGGGGAAACGCCCAGACCUCUACGGGGGGCAGCAGUAGGGAAACUUCGGGAAUAGAGCGAAGGCUGACCGGGGAACGGCGCGUGAGGGAAGAAGGUUUUCGGAUUGUAAAGAUCUUUUGUAAGAGAAGGACGAGUGGGAGAGUGGACAGUGCACGCUGUGACGGUAUCUAACCAGAAAGGGACGGCUAACUACGUG
rnacentral:rRNA from 1 species